rnacentral:rRNA from 1 species
AGGGUUCGAUUCUGGCUCAGGAUGAACGCUGGCGGCGUGCUUAACACAUGCAAGUCGAACGGGAUCCAUCAGGCUUUGCUUGGUGGUGAGAGUGGCGAACGGGUGAGUAAUGCGUGACCGACCUGCCCCAUGCUCCGGAAUAGCUCCUGGAAACGGGUGGUAAUGCCGGAUGUUCCACAUGAUCGCAUGUGAUUGUGGGAAAGAUUCUAUCGGCGUGGGAUGGGGUCGCGUCCUAUCAGCUUGUUGGUGAGGUAACGGCUCACCAAGGCUUCGACGGGUAGCCGGCCUGAGAGGGCGACCGGCCACAUUGGGACUGAGAUACGGCCCAGACUCCUACGGGAGGCAGCAGUGGGGAAUAUUGCACAAUGGGCGCAAGCCUGAUGCAGCGACGCCGCGUGAGGGAUGGAGGCCUUCGGGUUGUAAACCUCUUUUAUCGGGGAGCAAGCGAGAGUGAGUUUACCCGUUGAAUAAGCACCGGCUAACUACGUGCCAGCAGCCGCGGUAAUACGUAGGGCGCAAGCGUUAUCCGGAUUUAUUGGGCGUAAAGGGCUCGUAGGCGGCUCGUCGCGUCCGGUGUGAAAGUCCAUCGCUUAACGGUGGAUCUGCGCCGGGUACGGGCGGGCUGGAGUGCGGUAGGGGAGACUGGAAUUCCCGGUGUAACGGUGGAAUGUGUAGAUAUCGGGAAGAACACCGAUGGCGAAGGCAGGUCUCUGGGCCGUCACUGACGCUGAGGAGCGAAAGCGUGGGGAGCGAACAGGAUUAGAUACCCUGGUAGUCCACGCCGUAAACGGUGGACGCUGGAUGUGGGGCACGUUCCACGUGUUCCGUGUCGGAGCUAACGCGUUAAGCGUCCCGCCUGGGGAGUACGGCCGCAAGGCUAAAACUCAAAGAAAUUGACGGGGGCCCGCACAAGCGGCGGAGCAUGCGGAUUAAUUCGAUGCAACGCGAAGAACCUUACCUGGGCUUGACAUGUUCCCGACGACGCCAGAGAUGGCGUUUCCCUUCGGGGCGGGUUCACAGGUGGUGCAUGGUCGUCGUCAGCUCGUGUCGUGAGAUGUUGGGUUAAGUCCCGCAACGAGCGCAACCCUCGCCCCGUGUUGCCAGCACGUUAUGGUGGGAACUCACGGGGGACCGCCGGGGUUAACUCGGAGGAAGGUGGGGAUGACGUCAGAUCAUCAUGCCCCUUACGUCCAGGGCUUCACGCAUGCUACAAUGGCCGGUACAGCGGGAUGCGACAUGGCGACAUGGAGCGGAUCCCUGAAAACCGGUCUCAGUUCGGAUCGGAGCCUGCAACCCGGCUCCGUGAAGGCGGAGUCGCUAGUAAUCGCGGAUCAGCAACGCCGCGGUGAAUGCGUUCCCGGGCCUUGUACACACCGCCCGUCAAGUCAUGAAAGUGGGCAGCACCCGAAGCCGGUGGCCUAACCCCUUGUGGGAUGGAGCCGUCUAAGGUGAGGCUCGUGAUUGGGACUAAGUCGUAACAAGGUAGCCGUACCGGAAGGUGCGGCUG